rnacentral:rRNA from 1 species
GAUGAACGCUGGCGGCGUGCCUAAUACAUGCAAGUCGAGCGAACAGACGAGGAGCUUGCUCCUCUGACGUUAGCGGCGAACGGGUGAGUAACACGUGGAUAACCUACCUAUGAGACUGGGAUAACUUCGGGAAACCGGAGCUAAUACCGGAUAAUAUAUUGAACCGCAUGGUUCAAUAGUGAAAGACGGUUUUGCUGUCACUUAUAGAUGGAUCCGCGCCGCAUUAGCUAGUUGGUAAGGUAACGGCUUACCAAGGCAACGAUGCGUAGCCGACCUGAGAGGGUGAUCGGCCACACUGGAACUGAGACACGGUCCAGACUCCUACGGGAGGCAGCAGUAGGGAAUCUUCCGCAAUGGGCGAAAGCCUGACGGAGCAACGCCGCGUGAGUGAUGAAGGUCUUCGGAUCGUAAAACUCUGUUAUUAGGGAAGAACAAAUGUGUAAGUAACUAUGCACGUCUUGACGGUACCUAAUCAGAAAGCCACGGCUAACUACGUG